UUUUAGCCCCGAUGGGAGGGAAAAUCCUUUUUUUAAAACAUCCCUUCUCAAUUAGUAUUUAUGUUGGGGAUGUUUUAAAAAAAGAUUGGAAGGACAGCGGGACUUUGC
rnacentral:sRNA from 1 species